AUUGAACGCUGGCGGCAGGCCUAACACAUGCAAGUCGAACGGUAACAGGAAACAGCUUGCUGUUUCGCUGACGAGUGGCGGACGGGUGAGUAAUGUCUGGGAAACUGCCUGAUGGAGGGGGAUAACUACUGGAAACGGUAGCUAAUACCGCAUAACGUCGCAAGACCAAAGAGGGGGACCUUCGGGCCUCUUGCCAUCAGAUGCGCCCAGAUGGGAUUAGCUAGUAGGUGGGGUAACGGCUCACCUAGGCGACGAUCCCUAGCUGGUCUGAGAGGAUGACCAGCCACACUGGAACUGAGACACGGUCCAGACUCCUACGGGAGGCAGCAGUGGGGAAUAUUGCACAAUGGGCGCAAGCCUGAUGCAGCCAUGCCGCGUGUAUGAAGAAGGCCUUCGGGUUGUAAAGUACUUUCAGCGGGGAGGAAGGGAGUAAAGUUAAUACCUUUGCUCAUUGACGUUACCCGCAGAAGAAGCACCGGCUAACUCCGUG
rnacentral:rRNA from 1 species